GGGGAUAUGGUGUAGUGGUAUCACAUCUGCUUUGCAUGCAGAAGGCCCCGGGUUCAAACCCCGGUGUCUCCA
rnacentral:tRNA from 1 species